UAAACUCCCUUUGUUGAGGAAGAUAAUGACGGUACUCAACAAGGAAGUGACGGCUAACUACGUGCCAGCAGCCGCGGUAAAACGUAGGUCACAAGCGUUGUCCGGAAUUACUGGGUGUAAAGGGAGCGCAGGCGGGAAGACAAGUUGGAAGUGAAAUCUAUGGGCUCAACCCAURAACUGCUUUCAAAACUGUUUUUCUUGAGUAGUGCAGAGGUAGGCGGAAUUCCCGGUGUAGCGGUGGAAUGCGUAGAUAUCGGGAGGAACACCAGUGGCGAAGGCGGCCUACUGGGCACCAACUGACGCUGAGGCUCGAAAGUGUGGGUAGCAAACAGGAUUAGAUACCCUGGUAGUCCACACUGUAAACGAUGAUUACUAGGUGUUGGAGGAUUGACCCCUUCAGUGCCGCAGUUAACACAAUAAGUAAUCCACCUGGGGAGUACGACCGCAAGGUUGAAACUCAAAGGAAUUGACGGGGGCCCGCACAAGCAGUGGAGUAUGUGGUUUAAUUCGACGCAACGCGAAGAACCUUACCAAGUCUUGACAUCCUGCGACGAUGCUGGAAACAGUAUUUUCCUUCGGGACGCAGAGACAGGUGGUGCAUGGUUGUCGUCAGCUCGUGUCGUGAGAUGUUGGGUUAAGUCCCGCAACGAGCGCAACCCUUAUGGUCAGUUACUACGCAAGAGGACUCUGGCCGGACUGC
rnacentral:rRNA from 1 species